UGCGUAGGGGGCAAGCGUUGUCCGGAUUUAUUGGGCGUAAAGAGCGUGUAGGCGGCCAGGUAGGUCAGCUGUGAAAACUCGAGGCUCAACCUCGAGACGCCGGUUGAAACCAUCUGGCUAGAGUCCGGAAGAGGAGAGUGGAAUUCCUGGUGUAGCGGUGAAAUGCGCAGAUAUCAGGAAGAACACCCGUGGCUAAGGCGGCUCUCUAGUACGGUACUGACGCUGAGACGCGAAAGCGUGGGGAGCGAACAGG
rnacentral:rRNA from 1 species